GAGGCAGCAGUGGGGAAUUUUGGACAAUGGGCGAAAGCCUGAUCCAGCAAUGCCGCGUGAGUGAAGAAGGCCUUCGGGUUGUAAAGCUCUUUUGUCAGGGAAGAAACGGUCUGGGCUAAUACCCUAGGCUAAUGACGGUACCUGAAGAAUAAGCACCGGCUAACUACGUGCCAGCAGCCGCGGUAAUACGUAGGGUGCGAGCGUUAAUCGGAAUUACUGGGCGUAAAGGGUGCGCAGGCGGUUGUGCAAGACAGAUGUGAAAUCCCCGGGCUUAACCUGGGAAUUGCAUUUGUGACUGCACGGCUAGAGUGUGUCAGAGGGGGGUAGAAUUCCACGUGUAGCAGUGAAAUGCGUAGAGAUGUGGAGGAAUACCGAUGGCGAAGGCAGCCCCCUGGGAUAACACUGACGCUCAUGCACGAAAGCGUGGGGAGCAAACAGGAUUAGAUACCCUGGUAGUCCACGCCCUAAACGAUGUCAACUAGUUGUUGGGUCUUAAUUGACUUGGUAACGCAGCUAACGCGUGAAGUUGACCGCCUGGGGAGUACGGUCGCAAGAUUAAAACUCAAAGGAAUUGACG
rnacentral:rRNA from 1 species